rnacentral:rRNA from 1 species
GGGAGCUAUACAUGCAGUCGACGCUUCUUUUUCCACCGGAGCUUGCUCCACCGGAAAAAGAGGAGUGGCGAACGGGUGAGUAACACGUGGGUAACCUGCCCAUCAGAAGGGGAUAACACUUGGAAACAGGUGCUAAUACCGUAUAACAAUCGAAACCGCAUGGUUUUGAUUUGAAAGGCGCUUUCGGGUGUCGCUGAUGGAUGGACCCGCGGUGCAUUAGCUAGUUGGUGAGGUAACGGCUCACCAAGGCGACGAUGCAUAGCCGACCUGAGAGGGUGAUCGGCCACAUUGGGACUGAGACACGGCCCAAACUCCUACGGGAGGCAGCAGUAGGGAAUCUUCGGCAAUGGACGAAAGUCUGACCGAGCAACGCCGCGUGAGUGAAGAAGGUUUUCGGAUCGUAAAACUCUGUUGUUAGAGAAGAACAAGGAUGAGAGUAACUGUUCAUCCCUUGACGGUAUCUAACCAGAAAGCCACGGCUAACUACGUGCCAGCAGCCGCGGUAAUACGUAGGUGGCAAGCGUUGUCCGGAUUUAUUGGGCGUAAAGCGAGCGCAGGCGGUUUCUUAAGUCUGAUGUGAAAGCCCCCGGCUCAACCGGGGAGGGUCAUUGGAAACUGGGAGACUUGAGUGCAGAAGAGGAGAGUGGAAUUCCAUGUGUAGCGGUGAAAUGCGUAGAUAUAUGGAGGAACACCAGUGGCGAAGGCGGCUCUCUGGUCUGUAACUGACGCUGAGGCUCGAAAGCGUGGGGAGCAAACAGGAUUAGAUACCCUGGUAGUCCACGCCGUAAACGAUGAGUGCUAAGUGUUGGAGGGUUUCCGCCCUUCAGUGCUGCAGCUAACGCAUUAAGCACUCCGCCUGGGGAGUACGACCGCAAGGUUGAAACUCAAAGGAAUUGACGGGGGCCCGCACAAGCGGUGGAGCAUGUGGUUUAAUUCGAAGCAACGCGAAGAACCUUACCAGGUCUUGACAUCCUUUGACCACUCUAGAGAUAGAGCUUCCCCUUCGGGGGCAAAGUGACAGGUGGUGCAUGGUUGUCGUCAGCUCGUGUCGUGAGAUGUUGGGUUAAGU